GCUGGAAAUGCAUUCUUACGGAACCCUCUGUUCCACCAGGAUGACACUGUGAAAUCCACUCUACUGCCAGUUAUUGUCGCUGAGUUGUGGAAUACUGAAAAACAAAUGAUCCUUGAUUAGCAGAUGGAGGGAUACAGAAACAUCUCCUUCUACCACCGAAAUCGCUUACAAAGAGGUGACAAAAUACGCUCAACACUCAUAAAGUUCAGGAGACUUUAAAGUGGGGAAAUCCAGCCCAGUGCCAAAAAAAAAAAAAAAAAAA